GGGGAUGUGGCUCAGUGAUAAGAGUUUUUGCCUAGCAUGCAUGAGGCCCUGUGUUUGAUUCCUAGUACCACCA
rnacentral:tRNA from 1 species